rnacentral:rRNA from 1 species
ACCACUUCGGUGGGGAUUAGUGGCGAACGGGUGAGUAACACGUGGGCAAUCUGCCCUGCACUCUGGGACAAGCCCUGGAAACGGGGUCUAAUACCGGAUACUGACCCGCUUGGGCAUCCAAGCGGUUCGAAAGCUCCGGCGGUGCAGGAUGAGCCCGCGGCCUAUCAGCUUGUUGGUGAGGUAAAGGCUCACCAAGGCGACGACGGGUAGCCGGCCUGAGAGGGCGACCGGCCACACUGGGACUGAGACACGGCCCAGACUCCUACGGGAGGCAGCAGUGGGGAAUAUUGCACAAUGGGCGAAAGCCUGAUGCAGCGACGCCGCGUGAGGGAUGACGGCCUUCGGGUUGUAAACCUCUUUCAGCAGGGAAGAAGCGAAAGUGACGGUACCUGCAGAAGAAGCGCCGGCUAACUACGUGCCAGCAGCCGCGGUAAUACGUAGGGCGCGAGCGUUGUCCGGAAUUAUUGGGCGUAAAGAGCUCGUAGGCGGCUUGUCACGUCGGUUGUGAAAGCCCGGGGCUUAACCCCGGGUCUGCAGUCGAUACGGGCAGGCUAGAGUUCGGUAGGGGAGAUCGGAAUUCCUGGUGUAGCGGUGAAAUGCG